ACCUUUAAAAAUAAAAGAGUAUGAGCUGGCACUGAAAAUGUGUCAUAAAGUUUGCUCGCUUUUAUCCUGCAAAUGACAUGUACUUAAAUUCUAAGCGACUAAACUAAGAACACAAGAGAUGUACAACUAAAGAGCAGAGCGCCGACAAGUGCCACAGGGGAAGGCACCUCAAAAACUUGAGAACAAAAUUAAAUCAUUUCAAAAUCCAAUCAAAUCGAAGCCGGCAUCAAUUUUUCAUGGCGCAAAAACGCUGUAAAAGCAAACUGAAAUACCAAUGAAAAAUUAUGAGCCAUGUGGCUCAACAUCAAAACUGUCGACAAUAACAAUAACAAACAAAGUUGUGGGCAACCCUUUGGCACUGCAAUCGACCAGGACGAUCCAAUAGCCAAGUGGCCAUUGAUGCGUUAAAUAAAAACUUCAACUAAAUAUUUCCCAAAAGCAAAAACAGGCGAAUUUCCAAGCGGGCAGCAGGCGAUGACCCAAAGUGAUGCAAAGUUUCCAUAAGAAACAAAAAAUGGAAGACAACAAUGCGGGCGGAGGGGUGCUUCAAGCAAUGUUGGCCAAGUAAAAGCCAGCAGCUAACCAGUGGAAAAAUAAUCUCAAGUCGCAAGCCAACGACUUGGCUAUGCCCUAGAUUAUGUCUAGGGUUAAAAGCUAAGGACCAAAUUGAAGAUAUACUCAUAAAUUACGUUCAAGCAGCAGAUCAUUCCAAAAAAGGUAA